GAAAACAGCAUACUUAUAUAAUUAACAAAAUGAGAGCCACAAGCAUAAGUGAUGAAAUUUGAAUCGGAAAUGAAAAUUGUGCAAUAAAAAAACUCCAUGUUCUCUUUUUUAUAAUUUACUUCUGCUUGCAGUUAUUUCGGUUUAUAUAUAAAAGUAAACAGAAAGAACUGCAAGCAUAUACUGUAUAUAUAUAUAUAUAUAUAGUACCUGUAUAAGUGGGUAACAUAACAAAAGAAAUUAACAUAAAAAAAAAAAACUCUGUUGUGUUGCUCCAUCAAAGUGUAAGACAAAAAAUUUUUAGCCAUCUGGAAGAGAGGGUUCAUAUUACUCUAACCAACACUGUGACUGUUGUGGAAGCCAAAAAAGAGAAACUGAAAGCUGAGCUGGAACUUCGCCUGCAGCUCCAUGAACCUCGUGCUGCAAGAAUACAGAUGGACAUUCACAAUGUCAGAGCAGCUGAACUAGUGCUACAUCGAGAACACAUGGAUCGACACUGCAAGGGUAUACUGGGUGUCCUAGAAGACUGCCGAACAGAAGUACAGGAGUUACUGAUCCAGCAAAAUAAUCUGACCGAAGACUUCCUAAGAUUUUACCUUUGCCACUAAUUCUGUAAAGUAAAUAAAUGAAACUGUUUAGUGGUAAUUCUGUGUACA
ensembl:lncRNA